rnacentral:lncRNA from 1 species
CCGUUAAUAAUGUCACGUUUCUUUUCGGCACGGAUAUUAAGGAGAGUGAUAUUAGAAGAAAAGUGAUAUGGUCCCACAUGUUUAAUUGAAUCUUAAAUAUGAUAAAGGAGGCCUUUGGUCCUCCAUAUAUCUGUUGCCACCGUCGCCGGCCAGACCGCCGCCGUCCCUUCACCUUAUUUGUGCCUUUCUUGAACUAGCAACUAACAAAGAAAAUCAAGAAAUUCACUACAUUCAAGAAAUUUAAGAAAUUGAUCAGGGUGAAUUGAACAAAACAUCAACAUUAUUAACUGAACAAAAUAUCAACAUUAUCCCAUGAAUCGCUUCUCCACCGCCAAUUCUGGCCUUAUCGUCGCCGGAAUUUAUGAGCAGUUGCUGCUCGUUUUCGCCACCGAAAACGCCGCUCUUGUAGUCGGAGGGGUAUUGGUCUUCAACGGAAUUGAAAAGGUCUAAUUUCCAUAGCUACCCUCACCUCACCAGAUCUGGAGAAUUAGAGAAAGAAUUAAAGGAAGGGGUUUAGGGAUCUAAGGUUUGGGGGAACGAAGCGGUGGAAACUUAAUACUGUUGUUGGCUGGAGAAUUAGAGGUGGGAGGGCGGCGGCGACGAGGAUAGCGUGAGGUGGUGGCGCGACGGGUGGAGGUGGGAGCGCGAGGCGGCAGCGCGAGGGGAGGCCAGAGGAAGGAGAAGGCUUUCUCCAACGACUGGCAGAGGGAAGUCAGCGGAGGAGGGUGGGUGGACGCGGAGGCGGUGCGCCGUCGCCGUGGAGGAGGAGAGGCUGCGAGGGUGUAGCAUGAGAGAGAGAGUAAUCGGAAGAGAGUUCAAGUGAGAG